AACGAACGCUGGCGGCAUGCCUAACACAUGCAAGUCGAACGAGACCUUCGGGUCUAGUGGCGCACGGGUGCGUAACGCGUGGGAACCUGCCCUUAGGUUCGGAAUAACUCCCCGAAAGGGGUGCUAAUACCGGAUAAUGUCUUCGGACCAAAGAUUUAUCGCCUUUGGAUGGGCCCGCGUUGGUUUAGCUAGUUGGUAGGGUAAAAGCCUACCAAGACGACGAUCCAUAGCUGGUCUGAGAGGAUGAUCAGCCACACUGGGACUGAGACACGGCCCAGACUCCUACGGGAGGCAGCAGUGGGGAAUAUUGGACAAUGGGCGAAAGCCUGAUCCAGCAAUGCCGCGUGAGUGAUGAAGGCCUUAGGGUUGUAAAGCUCUUUUACCCGGGAUGAUAAUGACAGUACCGGGAGAAUAAGCUCCGGCUAACUCCGUG
rnacentral:rRNA from 1 species